UCCCCGUUACCGGGGCAGUCUGAUUAGAAAAAUACAACUAAUCACAAGGGUUGCGCUCGUUAAUGGACUUAACCAAACAUCUCACGACACGAGCUGACGACGGCCAUGCAUCAUCUGUCACUUGGUUCCAAAAGGCACACUCUACUUUCGUAGUGCUUCCAAGGAAGUCAAGCCCUGGUAAGGUUCUUCGUUUAGCAUCGAAUUAAAGAACAUGAUCCACCGCUUGUGCGGGUCCCCGUCAAUUCCUUUAUGUUUUAGUCUUGCGACCGUACUCCACAGGCGGGAUACUUAACGCGUUAGCUUCGCUACUGAAGGGGUCGAUACCUCCAACAGCUAGUAUCCAUCGUUUACGGCGUGGACUAC
rnacentral:misc_RNA from 1 species